ACAGCAGGCGCGAAACCUCCGCAAUGCGAGCAAUCGCGACGGGGGGACCCCAAGUGCCACUCUUAACGGGGUGGCUUUUCAUAAGUGUAAAAAGCUUUUGGAAUAAGAGCUGGGCAAGACCG
rnacentral:rRNA from 1 species